rnacentral:rRNA from 1 species
UGGGGAAUAUUGCACAAUGGGCGAAAGCCUGAUGCAGCAACGCCGCGUGAGUGAUGACGGCCUUCGGGUUGUAAAGCUCUGUCUUUGGGGACGAUAAUGACGGUAUCCAAGGAGGAAGCCACGGCUAACUACGUGCCAGCAGCCGCGGUAAUACGUAGGUGGCAAGCGUUGUCCGGAUUUACUGGGCGUAAAGGGUGCGUAGGCGGACCUUUAAGUGAGAUGUGAAAUCCCCGAGCUUAACUUGGGGGCUGCAUUUCAAACUGGAGGUCUAGAGUGCAGGAGAGGAGAGUGGAAUUCCUAGUGUAGCGGUGAAAUGCGUAGAGAUUAGGAAGAACACCAGUGGCGAAGGCGACUCUCUGGACUGUAACUGACGCUGAGGCACGAAAGCGUGGGGAGCAAACAG